UAAGGCUGUUAACAUUCAAGAGAGAACCAAACACAGUGAAAAGAAAGCUACAAGAGUAAGAGAUGAAUAUGAGAUUCUGAAGAAGAACCUAUUAAACCAUGAAAUGUCAGAUUUGACACAUUACUUUCAUAGCAAUUGAAGAACACCUGUUACUUCCCCAAAGAAAAAAAGAAAGUAGAAGAAGAAGAAGCUGCUAUCAAGAGGCGGGGAAGAGAAGCAGAAACAAAGGAGAUGAGGGUGGGAACGACGACGAGUAACGGCUGAUGGGGCGCCAGAUGGUCAGUGAUGGAGAAAAAGUUGAAGCAGAUAGGGGCGAUAACCAAUGAAGGAGACGAUAGGGGUAGCGGCCGAUGUUGUCGAAGGUGGCAACAGUUGACGGACAACGGCUAGUAGGGGCAACAAUAAUGGCCGAAGGUGGCGAUUGAAAGAGCUAACAGGAGGCAGAGGUUGAAAAAGAAGGGCAUGGCUAAAAAUUAACAAAAAGGAUGAAGAAUGGAGAAGGAGGCCACAGUAAAAGGAGGAGGUGACGGGGUGACGACGAUGGCUAGGGCGACGAUGAGAGGCGAUGACAACGAUGGUGAUGGCAAUGGACGACGGCAACAAUGACGACCAGAGAUAGGUCUAGCGGUAGCGACAAUAGUGAAGGUAGAGGAUGAAGAUGAGGGUAUGAUUGAAAUUAUGUAUUUUGUUUAAGGGUAAAAUAAACAUUUUGUUGGUCAAUAUAAUAAGCUCUUCACAACGUUUUUAGAAAAGCUAGGGGAUAAGAGCUUUUCUAAAAUGCUUGUGGAGAAACUUUUAAGCUUAAAAACCUUUAAGCUCUUGAGGGUUUGCCCAACAUUUAACAAAAUAAGCUUGACAGCUUAUAAGCUAAAUGAAUAGCUUAUAAGCGGUCAAACUGGUAAGCCAAAUACCCUGUUGGGACCAUCGGAACCCUUCUCUGACCUGUUUGCAGCAAGCCAGCGAACGCGACGGGAUCGACUUGACGACAAAGGAUUCGCCAAGACCAGCCUCGUAACAAUGGUAAACAAUGUUGAAUCGGCCCUGUCCAUUCUCCUCGCACACACGAUACACUUGCGCCCACGAUGCCCUAGUCACCAGUCGCUACCAUCAAUGCGCCUCAAUCGGCAUCGUGAGUCAAGCUGUGAUCUUUACCAGAAAUCACCGCACCUUCACUACUUCCUCGCAUUGUAACUAUAACCCUACCCAAUUUCUCAACCCAAACCUUAACUUGAUUUGAAGAUCCCUUACCCAUUAACCUAACCCAUUUAACCGCAAAAUCUCUAAAACGCACAACCCAAUUACCCAUUCACCAGUUUCCUAAUUUGGACCCUACUAUUCCCAAACCCAUCAACCCACAAGCCUUAUCCAACCCAAUACACAAACUUGUAGGCUUCAUUCCUUUUUACUCCGUCAACCUAACCUCCACUUUGCUUUGGUUAAAGGUACAUUCUUUCCUUUGAAAAUCUGAUUAAUAUUUAUUUAUUAGAUAUCUUUGGUAAAUUGUUUUAGGUCCAUUUAAUAUUCUUUUAUCGCCCAAAAAAAAUUCCAUUUGUUGCUUCUUGAGCAUUAUUUUUUUGUUAUUGAUAUUGUCAUUUAAUUUAAAUUUGUUAAUCCUAUUUGCGUAUCUUAAUAGGCUUCUUGUCUACAUUUAAGUUGCAAUUUGAAUGUUCUCAACACUCACGUAAUUUAUUACAUCACUCUUUGGCCGCCUUCUCCUUACUAUUUGUUUCCUUUCCAUGGCCCCCAACAAACAUGAACAACCUUCCUCCACUACGCCGAUUGAUCUUCAGUCGUUACAAAACUUAGUAAAAUCCAUUGAAACUAGAACUCAAGAGCCUUUCAAAUACUAUGGGAAACCUUUCAAAUACGGUGGGAACCCUUUCUAAUACGGUGGGAACCCUUAUUGAGUAGAUAACACAAGUCCUCAAAAUACUAGGUAAGUAAAAAAUAGGAGAUGACUUUGUAGAGUUCCCUCAUUUUAAUGAAUCUAUACAUGGUGCACUCUAUACCCCAAGGAUACACAUUGUUUCCAAUAAGAUUGCUCAUUCACAUGAAGCAUUAGCUCCUUUUGAACCUAGACAAUCCCAUGAUAGGAAUACACGUCCUAAAGCACCUAGGUAUGACUACCGGAGUCUAAACUUUGAAGAACCUAUAAAUCGACACAUACCAUGAAAGGAAUCUAGAAAUAGAAUAUAGACAAUCACCUCCACCCCAUAAUAAUAGACAAAAAUACAAUAGAGAAAAUAAUAGGAAUGUGAAAGUGGAUGUUCAGGAGUAUGGCAAUAGGCUAGACCCUAAUGUGUUUUUAGAUUGGGUAGAUGACAUGGAAGAUUACUUCUCUUGGUAAAACUAAUAUUGAGAGAGUUCAUUUCGACAAAAUGAAAUUAACUAGUUAUGCAAAGAAAUAUUGGUAGAAUGUUCGAAGUAAUUUUGAGAGAUUAGGUGAACCUCCCAUCACCCUAUGGGGCUGUCUUGAAGCAAAAGUUAAAAAGAAAUACCUACCCUCUUUCCAUAAGACUCAGUUACAACUACUACUAAAACUAAGACAAUCCAAUUUAAGUGUAACUGAAUACUUGACCUAAUUUGAAAAUCUUCUCAUUCGAUGUGACUUAAAUGAGGAUUCUUUUAUAAAUGGAUUAGGAUGGAGAUCCAGAAAAAGAUUUUGUUGCACUCCCCUGAGACUGUAGAGGAAGCUUAUCAUAAAGCCUUGCAGAUAGAAAAAUACCUUAAAGCCCCUCUUAUUCAUCGAGUGUCCACACAAUUAUCUGACUCCCAUCCAUUAAGGUCAUUUCCUCCACCUUCCCCUAGAGAUACCAAUGUCAAUUGCGUACUCCUUUACUCAGCCUCUAGGGAUAGCUUUGCUAGGAAUAUAAAUUUUCCUUAUAGUGAUUCCCAACCCAGUACUUCCUAUCCUCAUAACCCUUCCAUUCAAUGCCACCCUUGUCAUAAGAAAAGACACAUAGCUGCUCGUUGUCCUGAGCGUGCCUUGACUUUAUAUCACGAGCAAGAACUUACUAAUCAGCUUGAGGAUGUAGAUGGAUUGUUUAAUCCAUUAGAUUUUUUUUUGAGGAAAAGAAGAGGGUGAUGAUGAUUUGCUUUAGUAGAAUAGGUUAACAUUGUGAGAUGUGUAUUGACUAAGAGUUCCCAUGAUAAUGAAUGGAAGCGCAUUGGUCUUUUCUAGACAUGCAUUGGGACUGAUGAGAGAAUUUGCACACUAGUUAUUGAUGGGGGGUAGUACUAUGAAAGUGGUGUCUAAGUUUGCACUUCCUCGAGUCAAUCUUAAGGUAGAACCACAUCCAAAACAAUUUAAAGUUGUAUUGAGUAAAUAACACAACCUUGCCAGUCACGAAGAGAUGCCUUGUUCCUAUUCAACUGGGUGAUUACAAAGAUGAGAUUUUCUGUGAUGUUUUACCUAUUAAUGUUGCCCAUGUCUUUUUAGGUCGCCCUUGACUUUAUAACAUGAAUGUAGUCCAUUAUGGUCAAGAAAAUACCUAUGUCUUCAACUAUAAGGGUAAGAAACUCAUAUUCAUCCCUGUUAAACCUUUUAGUAAAGGCACUAGGACCAAGUUGAAGCAAGUACCACCAGUCACUAGUAAAAAAAAACACAUUCAUUUGAUAGCUCCUAAGGCAUUUGAAAAUGAUUGCCAAGAAAAUGGAUACGGGUUAGCCAUUAUAGCUAAGAAGUCUGCUUUAAGUUCUUCUUAAGAGUUUGGAGGUUGCCUAUAACAACUCUGUUAAUAGGUCCACUGGAAAAAGUCCUUUUGAGAUUGUUCAUGGUUAUUGUCGAGAAUUAAGGUUGGAAUUAAGUAUAGAGAAUUAAGGCUAGAAUUGAGGAUGUAAUUAGUCUUUUGUAUAUAGAAGUUUACCUUAAUUAGGUGAUUAGGAAAUCUGCCUCUAUUUCCAUAUUUGUAAAUCAUGUACUGUAUAUAUAUAUUUCCAUUGAUUCAAUGAAGAAUAUACAGAAAUUCUUACCCUAAUCUUCCACAUGGUAUCAGAGCCACCUUUUUAGGGCACAUUUUCUUUCGACCUUCAUCGCUUCUCCAAUCUUCAUCACCGCCAUCACAUACCUGCAGCUCUGCCUUCAUUGUAGUUCUCUAGUUCUUCCGUCAUCCCUAGAUUAAAAAUCUAGGAAUUUGUUCAGGCAUUCAUUACCGACAAAGCCAGUGCUACUAACAACCUUUACUAUUGUUGCCGACAAUCCCUCCAUCACCAGAAACUUGCGAUAAUAAACCUUUGCUACUGGCAACAACUUGCCUUGUUACCACACACCGCUUUCCAUUAUAACCUAUCUUCUGCCAACUAAUAAAGAUGUCUAUUAUUUCCAGUGAAUUCAAUUCCCACAAUAUAGAUGAAGUACUGGUAGUCUCAAGGAUUCUACCAUCAAGAGAACUACAACAAAUCAAUGAUGCCUACCAUUUGAAUGAAAAAAAUCACCUGAAAUAGUCCCAAUUGGUCAGGACUAUUUUAAAAGGGAAUGGAAAUAUCAACCAUAUCCUAGGGACCGGAUCGAGAGAAAGGGAUCCAACCCAUGUAGCAUGGGACAAGGAAGACUCCAUGAUAAUGUCAUGGCUCUGGAAUUCAAUGGCACCUGAAAUCAUGACACCUGCAUGUUCCUACCGACAAUAAAAGAAGUUUGGGAAUCUAUCUGACAAACCUACUUGAAGGUUAAAGAUGCUGCACAAAUCUAUGAGUUGAAUAUCAAAAUGACUUCAACUAAACAAGGAAAUAAGACAAUUACAGAAUAUGUUAAUCUCCUGAAGGGAUUGUGGCAGGAGAUGGAUCAUUAUAGGGUUAUAGAUAUGAAAAACAGUGAUGAUGCAGUAAUGUUAAAGGCCUUCAUAGUGAAAGAUAGAACCUACAACUUCCUGGCAGGUUUCAAUGUGGCGUAUGAUCAAGUAAGGGUUCAAAUUCUGGGCAAAGAAUCAUUAAAUGAAGUCAUUUCAAUUAUCCCAUCCAAAGAGGGUAGGCGAAGUGUAAUGAUUGAGCCCAAACCAGUCAAAGCAUCAGCAAUGGUGGCUAAUGGAAGAGGUCACAGAUCAAAAAAGGAGCAACCAAAUGGAGAAACUGGAAAAAAAAGACCCCAAACCUACGAGUAGUGAUAACCGUGACAAUAGGAGGUGCAAUUACUACAAGAAACCGAGACACUCAAGAGAUGUGCUAGAGGUUGAAUGGAAAGCCAUUAAGCAAGGAAUGGGGAAACAAAAGCAGACAGUUGCAAAAAAGCCAAGGGGAAGCCAAUAAGGCAACACCGCAAGGCGAGAAAAAAACCCAAGAACCAAAGGAGUUCAACAGGGAAGAGAUUGAGAAGCUGAGAAACCUCCUAAGUACCCUUGAAAAACCUUCUGGUAACUGUUCAUUGGUACAUUCAAGUAAACUUCCAAUCUCUCAUGCUUUAAAUGCCUCAGAUAGUCCCUUUAAAGAUUCAUAUUGAUUCAAGAACCACUGAUCAUGUGUCCCAUUCCUCACAAAAUUUCAGUCAUAUUCACCUUGUUCUAGUAGUAGAAAAAUUGCCACUGCUAAUAGUUUCUUAACCGUAGUAGCUGGGAUUGGAGAGAGAAAAGUCAGUCCAAACCUUAUUUAAAAAAUGUCCUUUAUGUUCCUAAAUUGUCCACUAAUCAUUUAUCAAUAUCCAAACUUUCCCAUGAUAUGAACUACAAAGUGACAUUUUCCCCAUCCUAAUGUUUAUUUCAGGACCAUGAUUUAGGAAUGAUGAUUGUACGUGCUAAGGAAAGGGAUGGACUAUACUAUCUUGAGGAAUUUGAGAAACCAUACUAUCUUGAGGAAUUUGAGAAACCAAAAGUUGGUAAGUGAAAUCAACCCCUAACCUACCUUUUUGAACAACAUCUAAUAGAUAAAGAGAAAAUUUGGCUUUACCAUUACAGGCUAGGACACCUUCUUUUUCAACUUUUGACCUUACGUUCCCUUUUUUUCCUUAAAGAGUUAGAUAAUAAGCAGUUUUAUUGUGAGAUAUGUGAACUUGCAAAAAAGCACAGAUGUGCUACUUUUCUCAACAAUAUCACAAGAUGUCAUUUUCCCUUUGAAUUGAUUCAUAGUGAUAUAUGGGGUCCUUUAACCAUUCCAAAUAUUUCUACGAGCACAUUAGUUUGUUUCAUUUAUUGAUGAUUGUAUAAGAGUUACCCAGCUAUUUUUGCUUAAAUCCAAAUCUAAUUUGAGUGAUAUCUUUCCCAACUUCUUUUUCAUGAUCCAAAACCAAUUUAGGGUACACAUCAAAAAGUUUAGGUUGUAUAAUGCCAAAGAUUAUUUCAAUCAAACCCUUUCCACACAUUUCUACCAACAUGGAGUUAUUCAUGAGUCAUCAUGUGUCCACACUCCACAACAAAAUUGUGUUGUAGAGAGGAAAAAUAGCCAUCUCCUAAACACUACUCAAGCCUUGUUGUUUUAAAAUAAUGUGCCCAAACACUUUUAGGGGGAAGUAGAAGUAGUCCUUAUAGCCACUCAUGUUAUAAAUUGGUUACCAUCCCAAGUGUUAAACUUCCAAAGUCCCAUGGAAGUAUUAUCUUAAUUCUAUCCCGAUCUUAAUAUCACACUCUCUUAACUCCUAGAGUCCUUGGGUGUGUUUCAUUUGUUCAUGUCCAUAGUGAAAAUAGAGGGAAAUUGGACCCUAGAGCUACCAAGUGUGUCUUUGUGAGAUACUCUCAAACACAAAAAGGGCACAAAUGCUAUCAUCCACCUACUAAAAAACUCCUUACCUUCGCAAAUAUUACCUUUGUUGAAUCUGAACCAUAUUCCACAUAACCUUAUCUUCAGAGAGAGAUAUCAUUUGUGGAAGAUAAGCAUCGUGAUUUUUUCCUCCUUAACUUACCAUCAUAAUCUUCCUAAGCUUUCACCUGACUCUGUUACUCCAACACCUGCACUUGAACCUCUCUCACAUACCCAAAAUGAGUUAUCCUCGCAACUAAAAAAGGGAAAGAUCACUACUGACAAUUGGUUCUCAAAGCCCGAACCAAGGCUAGACUAGUCAUCAAACCCAACUUUUGGAAAUGAGGUAAUAUCCUUUAGCCCAUCUUUUGAUUUCUUAUCUGACCUUGAUUCCUUAAAAUAUGCUUUCCAUCCCAUAGAAGUUUCCUUACAAACAUAACCACAAUAUCCAUUCCCAUAACAUUAUUAGAGGCUUUAAACUGUGGGAAUUGGAAGAAUGCUAUGAAAUGCAGGCCUUGGAGAAAAACAAUACUUGGGAGAUUGUGAAUUUGCCAAUAUGAAAGAAACUAGUGGGAUGUAAGUGGGUUUUCACAGUCAAGUAUAGAGCAUAUGAGACACUUAAGAGAUACAAAGCUAGGCGCUAGUGGCUAAAGGAUACACUCAAAUAUAUGGGGAUAGAUCAUCAAGAAACCUUUGACCCAGUUGCCAAAAUGAACACAAUGAGAAUCCUUCUGUCUCUAGUAGUUAAUUUUGACUAGUCUUUGCAAUAGUUUGAUGUAAAAAAUGCAUUCUUAUAUAGAGAUAUUGAGGAAAUCUGCAUGGAAAUACCCCCAAGAUUCAACAGAAACAUAGCUACAAUUAAGGUUUGCAAACUCAAGGAAGCACUAUAUGGCUUGAAAUAGUCACCAAGAGCCUAGUUUGGGAGAUUUUCCAAGGUAAUGUAUUCCAUAGGGUAUAAGCAGAGCUAAGGUGAUCACACUCUAUUCAUUAAACACUCGGGUUCAAAGGGAGUUACUGCCCUUGUAGUUUAUGUUGAUUACAUCACAGUGACGAAAAAUGAUGAAAUGGAAAGGAAGAAUUUGGGAAGGUGCUUAGUUAAGGAAUUUGAGAUUAAGGAACUAGGAAAUUUGAAAUAUUUCCUAGGUAUUGAAGUGGCACUAUCAAGAGAAUGGAUCUUUAUAUCCCAACAUAAGUAUGUCCUCGAUCUCUAGAAAGACACAGAAAAAUUAGCUUGCAAACCAUCCAAUAUCUCGGUUGAUCCCAAUCAUAAACUUAGUGAAGUAGAGAGAGACAGAGAUACGAAUAGAGAAGCAUAUCAAAGAGUAGUUGACUGAUUAAUUUAUCUAUCCCACACACGAUCUGACAUCACUUAUGCAGUUAGUGUAGUGAGUCGAUUCACGCACAACCCCAAGGAGCUUCACUAACAAACAACCUACAAAAUACUACACUACCUUAAGGGAACCCUAGGAAAGGGGAUUUUUUUCAAUAAAUGAGACAAACUGACUCUAUAGGCCUACAUAGAUGCAGAUUAUGCAAGCUCAAUGGUUGAUAGAAGAUCCACCAUGGGAUAUUGCACUUUCUUGGAAGGAAACCUAGUCACUUAGAGGAGCAAGCAGAAUAUAGUGGCAAGAUCAAGUGCAAAACCAGAAUUUUAGGCAAGGGCGCAGGGAGUAUGUGAACUACUAUGGUUGGAGAUCAUUUUGGAAGAUCUAAGACUCAAAUGGGAUGAUCCUAUGAAGCUCUACUGCGACAACAAGUCUUCAAUUAGCAUUGCACACAAUCUUGUGCAACAUGAUUAAACAAAACACAUUAAAGUUGAUUAAGGAGAAACUUGAGAGUAGUCUCAUUUGUACACCUUAUGUACCAAAUGAAUCACAACUAGCAGAUGUCCCAACCAAGAGACUCAAUAGUCCAUUCUUUCAUAAAGUUGUAGCCAAGCUGGGAAUGGCCAAUGUUUACUCACUAGCUUGAGAGGGAGUGUUGAGAAUCAAGGUUGGAAUUAAGUAAAAAGAAUUCUAGAAUUAAGUAUAGAGAGUUAAGGCUAGCAUUAAGGAUGUAAUUGGUCUUUUGUAUAAAGAAGUUUACCUUAAUUAGGUGAUUAGGAAAUCUGAUUGUUUCCAUAUUUGUAAAUCAUCUAUUGUAUAUAUAUUUCCAUUGAUUCAAUGAAGAAUAUAUAAAAAUUCUUACCCUAAUCUUCCACAGUUACUCCCCUCGCACCCUUAUUAAUUGAUCUUGUACCCCUUACCCCUAGAUGCCCAAAUUUUUGAGCUUGCUGAAAAUUUUUCCCCACACAUCUAUGACCUACGUGCUAUAAUUAGAAGAAAAAUUGCAAUGAGUAAUGUUGACUAUAAACUUGCAGCCAAUACAUCAUAGGGCUCGAGAAUUUAACGAAUGUGACUAUCUCAUGAUUCAUAUUUGCGCUGAGCACUUCCCUAAACAUUCCUUCAAGAAACUACAUGCUCAAGCUAGUGGCCUCUUUCCUAUCAUUCAAAAUCUUGGACUUAAAUGUUUAUUUAUUCGACUUAUUUAAUAAUAUGAAUAUUAGUCAUAUUUUCAAUAUGGAAGAGUUAACUCUUUACCGAGGCAGUGUUCUUGCAAAUCACUAGGCUCUUUGUAUACGAUGCAUAUAGCACCAAAAGGAUGUGAUGGAUGUUGUGCUUGACAAUGAGAUUGUGACUUCUUUUUGUGGUGGUGGUUAUUGUUGUUUUCUUGUCAAAUGGAAAGAUCGACAAGAUUCUAAUAACACUUGGAUUAUUAAAGGGGAUUUUCAAGUCUUGGAUCCUGAGCUUUUAGAGUGGUAUUUAUAAUCUAACUCAUUAUAGUUGAGUUCUUUUCAAUUGGGGUAGAAUGAUGAAGAUCAUAGAGACAAAUAUUUCGAAAAAUAAUAUUUUAGGUGUAAGAAAAGAAAUUAAUAUUAUUUUAUUAAUUUCUUUAUUUUAAUUUGUUUUCUAGUUUCUUUUAAUUUCUUUUAUAUCUUAGAAUCCUAAUUAAAUUAGGAUUACCUUUAUUAGUUUAAAUACCAAGGAAUCCUAGUUAGAAAGGAAUUCUUGUAAGAAUAGAUUUAUAUCUAUUAAUUGUCUAUAAAAAAUCUUUUAAUAGAGUAUUGAAAGACAUAUUUCGAUGAAUAAUAUUAAAUGUUGAUAUUGAUUUUUAGUAAUUAGGAUUACUCCUAGUUUUUUUGGUUCGGUUCUGCAUCUACUAGUCUCAUGUAAGUAGGUGUACAAAAUCAAAAGAAAAGCGUACGAAAAGGCUGAUAGAUUUAAAGCAAGGCUGGUUGUUCGUAGUCUAGUACCCAAGGUGAGUUCUAUUUGUGCGGCGCUGACAAUAGCGAUUUUUAAGGGUUGGUUGAGGCAAAAAACUUGGCAAGGGUAUCUACAUGGACCAACCACCUAGAUGUAUCUUGAAUAAGUGUGUCUUGAUUAUGGGUGCAAAUUGUGAAAGAGGCCAAAGCAGACAUCAAGUGUUGGUAUGGAAAGAUAUCCUGACUAAACCUAAUCUUCAGAAAAUCACUUAAAAAGAGGAAUGUUGAAUUUAUGAAGUUAUUUUUGUGAUAAGUUAAGGGAUAUAACUACUUGAUAUGUGAUAAUGAUUCCAAGUUAGCAUUGGAUUGUGAUUAUAGAUAAUUGUAGAAUUUUAGUUAGAUUUAAUUUUAGAUUAUUUUAGUCUAUAAAUAAGAAUGGUUGUUUUUAGCUUUCUUUAUUGUAGAGAGCUCAAAUUUUCUAGAUAAUACAACAGAUUAUUCAAAGAAAGAUCUUAUUCUCUUAUUUAUUGAGGUACUUUUUUCUUAACGAUUUGGCUAGUUAAUAAAAAAAAAAAAGUACUUUUUAACAAUGAAAUUACCAAAAAGGAUAAUGACACAAAAGCUUUUAUAGUUAAUACUAUUUUGAAAUAAAAAUGCUUUUAAUAUUUUUAAAAAAUUACUAUACUUUUUUACACUCAAAAAUAUAUUUCAUGUUAUAGACAUAUAAGUGUCAAAAAUAUAUUUCAUGUUAUCAUAAUGAUAAAAAGGGCAGCAGCAGCUGGUGAACGAAGCCAGCCGCUGCUGCCGUGAAACCCCAUGGCUGGGGGUGGCAAAACACUCAUAGUUGGGAAUCUCCCAGCCAUGGGGGUUUCGCUGUGGCGGCCGGUCCCUGCUGCCACACUACAUUUUUCUAAAUAUAUAUAUAUGCACAUACAUACAUAUAAAAUAUGUUCUGUUUUAGAAUAUAUAUUGAAUAUAUAUGUUCAAUAUAUAUAAGGACAAUGGUAAAUUUAAAUGUUUAUGGAGAUUAUUUUGUCUAUUAAAUAAUUCAAUUUUCUGCUUUGCUUUUGCUGUACAGCAAAAGCUCCAAAUUCUUGCUUCUGCCGUACAGCAGGAAAACUGUUUUUUUGUUCUUGUCAUUAAAAGCACUUUCAAAUUUUGGCCAAACAGUAAAAAAAAAAAACGAAAACGCUUUAAUUAUUAUAAAAAAAAAAAAACGCUUUAACCCUUCACCACAUCACGACCAAACAGGCUCUUAGAUAUUGUGUAGCAUCAUAACUUAGCUCUCUGUUUGAUUAAAUGAGUUUAGCUUGGUUAUGGCUUUGAAAGCUGUAUCCUAUUUCUGGAACCAGAAGAACUUAAAGUGAACUGCAUUUGUGAACCGCUUCCGAAAAACGGGUCUCAAAAUUCUUAGUGUUAGGGAACAACCAAAACGUGUUUUCUUCCUUUGAAAAAAUUAACAUGAUAUGAACAUGAAAUCUACUUGAAAAAAAUAGGUUUUUUUUCUAUGUUUUCAACGUUCUUCCAGAUUAAAAAAAAAGAAGUUAAAACCAAUAAAACAUCAACCAAUUGUAAUGUCAUGAAACAGUGUCGAUUCCAAACUAGCUUCAUGGAAUCCGAGAUAAAAUCUUAUUGUCAAGGCUUUAACCCAUAUUCACUAAAGCAAUUGUGAUCCUCAUACUCCUAAUGCAUGCUUACACAUUUCUCAUUUAAAUGACUCGAGCUUGAAAUGAUUGGAAGUGUGAUAUUAAUAUCAUUCAUACAGAUUGGAUAUUUCUCACAUUAAUUAUCAAGUCCCAAAAUGGUUCAGAUGUUUGCCUCACCACUAUAUCUUUUUCCCCCCUUUUGAUUCAUACAAGCAAUGGCUCAUUAAUUUUCCAGAGCACACAUUCAAACCUUGUUUAACCAAAUUUUUUAUCUUCUACUUAAGGUCAUGCCGGAAUGACAAUUACUGAAAAUCCAGCCAAAACUCCCUUUCUAAUUAUCCUCAACCUCAAACUAGUGUCACAAGGUGAAGUCAGAUGAUCACCCCACACAAAAAGGGAAUCAAAAAUGUUUAGAUGCUGGCAUCCUGGCACAUUUUAGUAACCAAUUUUGUGGUUUAUUCAACCAUUAUCUCUGUAUUUUUAAGGGAUGAAACUGAGUUACAACAACACUAUUCUUAGAAUAAAUAUUACGUGGUUACAAGCUUAUGAUAAAUGCCAAAUAAUUAGAAUAUAAAUGACCAAGCAUCAUGAAACAAUAAACUCAGGACAUGCAACCAAAAAGCAAAAAUGUUUGCUCAAACAACUAACCUUUCGA